ensembl:lncRNA
CUUGAAGUUUAUGUGCAGCACUGCAUUGAAAGCACUAGAUCCUGCACAGGAUGUGAAGUGUGUAACAUUUGGAUAUUUUCAGUAGACUGCAAACACUUUAGAGACCAGAUUGUACCUGUUCUUAUUUGCAUCCUCUUUAUUCAGUAGUUUAUGGAGUUUGAUCAAUGCUAGCUGAAUAAAGAAAUUAGUUCAAGACUUGAUGCUGUAGCUCUUUUAAGCUACUUUACCAUCUGGACUCUUAGAGGGGGUUCAGGGUAAAGCAUUGAUGUCAAUAUAUUUGUUCUUGGCAUGGGCUUCACUUGGACUUCUGGUUGUUUUUGUGGACAGUGUGUUCAUGUGAUGCUUGAAUCUGAUGAUUAUGAUUAUAAGAGAAUACUAGGUAGACAAUUCUGUCCAACAGUUGACUUAAUCAUGUUAAAGAUAUGCCUAGCUUCAACCUUUGUUCUCUUGCUGGGACACCUGGGCUUACAGUUCACUUUUGUUUGUUCUUGCAGCCUGAUUUCCAGAUAUAUGCAGGUCAAUGGACUGACUCAGCCUGUCCUCCUGCCACACCCCCCUAGGAGCCUUUGUCAUUGGUCAGCACUUUCUUCUGAAGGAGGUGGGCUCACCAUCAGCCUGGGUGUGUGCGGUGGAAAUCGGGACAAUGAUUCUGUCACAGGGGUAUUGCUCUUCUUUACCAGUAGACCACUGUGAAGGGAUGAGAUAGAAAAAUGGAGGAAGGACGUUUCCCUGAUACUCUGGCUGAUACAUCUAUUUAAUCAUCAAAGUCACCAAGUGAGUGAGCAGUGAAUGCUACAGUCCAGUGAGUAUAUUCAUGCUCUUGUAGAUAUGGCUUUUGUUGUUUUGUUCUGAAAGAGUAUUUUUUUGACAGUCUCUAAGUCUCUGAGCAUUUCUUUUUAUGCUCUGGACAUACCCAAAGCAAAAUAAUGGGAUCUGAGCACAGUACAAUAGAAAACUAAACUAGGAGUCAGAGAAGCUGGCCUCUAUUUUUUUAUUUACCAUGGGCAAGCCAUUGCAUCCUUCGAGAGAAGCAUUUCAAUAGCAAUUAGUCUUGAAGAUGCUAAGCAAUUCUACAUGAAUGUGAUCCUAUAUUUUCUUUCCUUCUCUCUAUCCCUAGAUUUACAAUGUACAUUAGCACUAAUGGAGCCUUACAGGACCGAAACUUGUUAAACUUGUUUGUUUCAAAAUUUCCCAAAUUUAUUUGACCUUGAAAUCCUGUAUCAGAGGAGCAUGUUAGAGCCUGAGAACUAUUGUUUGAGGAAAACUUUAGAAAGUAUUAUUCUACAAACUCAAUUUUGUCAUCGUGAAAAUUGUACUGUAUGAACUACACAUUGCUCCCGUUGGUUAUUCUGCAUCACUUGCCGUAUUCAAUGUUUUUUUUUUUUUUCCCUUGCCAUGCUUCUUCUGAUGCCCCAGUUCUUUAGGUUGUAAUUGCAAAUGACUUAAGAUAUUAGUCACCCCCCACCCCCAGCCUCACUGCAUUACUGACAUAUUAAUUGGGUGAAGUUCUGAGUAUCAGAAAAUUUUCAAGACCUGCCCCAAAGGAGUAAUUUACUAAUGGUGGGAUUUCAGGCACUGUGGCAAGUGCUUCACAAAAGAUUGCUGGAUCCAUGGAGCUUUCUCAUUGUCCUUCCAAUAAUGUCAUCUAUUUAGCUACCUCCUUAUAAGACAGGCAUUUUUUUUUUUGUCUAAGUAAAGGGGCAGGGAGUGAGCAGCCUCCAGUUACCGAUCCUUUCUUUGAACCACUUAAUGGAUAUAAAAGCUCAACUUUACAAGAGGAAC